AUUUAUUAGUUCCUUUUACCAGAGUGUAAAUUUAGAUUAAGAUUCUGUUUUCUCAUCUCUAGAACUACAUAGUCUUCAUGAUAGAGUCUCAGCAAUUCUCUCCUGAUGCUAAUGCAGAGUUUGGUGUGUAAAGUUGAAUUUGGGUAAG
rnacentral:lncRNA from 1 species